rnacentral:rRNA from 1 species
UACGGAGGAUGCGAGCGUUAUCCGGAUUUAUUGGGUUUAAAGGGUGUGUAGGCGGGAUGCCAAGUCAGCGGUAAAAAUGCGGUGCUCAACGCCGUCGAGCCGUUGAAACUGGCGUUCUUGAGUGGACGAGAAGUAUGCGGAAUGCGUGGUGUAGCGGUGAAAUGCAUAGAUAUCACGCAGAACUCCGAUUGCGAAGGCAGCAUACCGGCGCCCUACUGACGCUGAGGCACGAAAGCGUGGGUAUCGAACAGG